rnacentral:lncRNA from 1 species
CAAACUUGAGCAAAUAACUGAAGCUCAGACUUUGACAUCAGAGGACUGGUUCUAGGGGGACUCCUCCUCAGAGUGGUGAAGAUGGCAGUCUCCUCACAGAUAACACAAGGAGGGACCUCUUUUAGUUCACCUUCUCUGAAGAAGAAGCCAGAAGGCCCUGGGCAGAGCUGGAGAGCAGGGCUCAGCAUCUCCUAUCAGUAACCAGGUGGUGACAUCAGGAGGCAGGACAGAGAUGGAUACCCAGUGGUAUUGGCUAUUUGUGGACAUCAGACCAAGGCAGGAUUACCAAGUAAAUUAUAGAUUACAUUUGACUUCAUUCAGAUAAACAACGUUGUCCCCCAGUCUAAGGCUGCCCCAGAUAUUGUAAGAGACAUACUUAGAUCAAAUAUACAUAAUUUAGUUG